ACAGUCCGAAAGUUACGAUGCUCACCACACACUGCAAGACAUGUCAAAGAUCGUGAGUAGACUAAGGUCUGAGUAUUCUAUUCUCAAUCGACUCUUCCUGGGUUCAUUCCUAACGGACUGCGCGAUGUCCAGAAAUGCAAUAGCCAGUUUCCCCACGGUUACUGAGUUAGUAGGGACGGACAACUUUGAAAAUGCGUCGCAGAGAUCGGGUGAGCACCUUUCCUCACUUGAUUCCCUGUUGCGGUAGACGUGCCCAUCAUUGCGCGCAACGUGAUCGCGUUCUUCGUUCGCAUUCAUGUCCGCGUAUUAGGACAUCGGGUCCGACGAAUCAACCGCGGCUCGUACUAGCAGUCAUCAAUACUACACCCCAUCACGCGACUGCAACCAAGUCAACUCGAUUAUUUUUUCUCGUACGAGAUUUUUCAAUCAUCUUUUGAAACUCGAUUCAGACUACUCUUAGGACUGU
rnacentral:RNase_P_RNA from 2 species